rnacentral:rRNA from 1 species
AUUGAACGCUGGCGGCAUGCCUUACACAUGCAAGUCGAACGGCAGCACGGGGCAACCUGGUGGCGAGUGGCGAACGGGUGAGUAAUGCAUCGGAACGUACCUUUCAGUGGGGGAUAACGUAGCGAAAGUUACGCUAAUACCGCAUAUUCUGUGAGCAGGAAAGCAGGGGAUCGCAAGACCUUGCGCUGAUUGAGCGGCCGAUGUCAGAUUAGCUAGUUGGUGAGGUAAAGGCUCACCAAGGCGACGAUCUGUAGCGGGUCUGAGAGGAUGAUCCGCCACACUGGAACUGAGACACGGUCCAGACUCAUACGGGAGGCAGCAGUGGGGAAUUUCGGACAAUGGGGGCAACCCUGAUCCAGCCAUGCCGCGUGAGUGAAGAAGGCCUUCGGGUUGUAAAGCUCUUUCGGCCGGGAAGAAAUCGCACGGGCUAAUACCCUGUGUGGAUGACGGUACCGGAAUAAGAAGCACCGGCUAACUACGUGCCAGCCGCCGCAGUAAUAC